CGGGGGUCCCGUUUCGUUGGUUUGGAGGACGGUCCGUAAUGAUGAAUAGGAACAAUUGGGUGUGUUGAUACUCGAGAGUCAGAGGUGAAAUUCUUAGAUUUCUCGAAGAUCGACUAGUGCGAAGGCAUUCACAAAGGAUGUUUUCAUUGAUCAAGAACGAAAGUCGGGGGAUCGAAGACGAUCAGAUACCGUCGUAGUCUCGACCGUAAACGAUGGUGGCUUGGGGUGGUGGUCGUAUCACGAAGAUCGAAGGCGACCGCGGAACCAUAGGGAAACUAAAGCGUUUGACCCCCAGGGGGAGUAUAGCCGCAAGGACGAAACUUGAAGAAAUUGACGGAAGGGCACCACCAGCGGUGGAGCCUGCGGCUCAAUUUGACUCAACACGGGGAA
rnacentral:rRNA from 1 species